rnacentral:rRNA from 1 species
AUUGAACGCUGGCGGCAUGCCUUACACAUGCAAGUCGAACGGUAACAGGUUAUGCUGACGAGUGGCGAACGGGUGAGUAAUACAUCGGAACGUGCCCAGUAGUGGGGGAUAGCCCGGCGAAAGCCGGAUUAAUACCGCAUACGACCUAAGGGUGAAAGGGGGGGAUCGCAAGACCUCUCGCUAUUGGAGCGGCCGAUGUCAGAUUAGCUAGUUGGUGGGGUAAAAGCUCACCAAGGCGACGAUCUGUAGCUGGUCUGAGAGGACGACCAGCCACACUGGGACUGAGACACGGCCCAGACUCCUACGGGAGGCAGCAGUGGGGAAUUUUGGACAAUGGGCGCAAGCCUGAUCCAGCCAUGCCGCGUGCGGGAAGAAGGCCUUCGGGUUGUAAACCGCUUUUGUCAGGGAAGAAAUCCUUUGGGUUAAUACCUCGGGGGGAUGACGGUACCUGAAGAAUAAGCACCGGCUAACUACGUG